CCGUCGGCUGCGGCUGCUGGUCCGGCCCCGUGCCCUGCGCGGGCACGUGCACGGCGACCGCGCCGGGCGCGCCGUUCGUGUCGCCGCCCGCGGGC
rnacentral:tRNA from 2 species